CUAAUCGAUUUUUGGGUGGCAGAGCGUGGUAAUUGCAAAAGGCUAAGCCCUUAUGACGAGAGUUCAAUCUCUCCUCCAACU
rnacentral:tRNA from 1 species